rnacentral:rRNA from 1 species
UGAGCUGUGGAUAGCGGAGAAAUUCCAAUCGAACUCGGAGAUAGCUGGUUCUCCUCGAAAUAGCUUUAGGGCUAGCGUCGGGUAAUUGAGUAGUGGAGGUAGAGCACUGAAUGGGCUAGGGGCUGACAACAGUUACUGAACCCUAUCAAACUCCGAAUGCCAUAUACUUGUACCCCGGCAGUCAGACUACGAAUGAUAAGAUCCGUGGUCAAAAGGGAAACAGCCCAGACCAUCAGCUAAGGUCCCAAAGUGUAAGUUAAGUGGGAAAGGAUGUGGGAUUUCUAAGACAACUAGGAUGUUGGCUUAGAAGCAGCCACUCAUUUAAAGAGUGCGUAAUAGCUCACUAGUCGAGAGAUCCUGCGCCGAAGAUGUAACGGGGCUCAAACUUACCACCGAAGCUAUGGAUGUGUACUUUGUACACGUGGUAGAGGAGCUUUCUGUACAGGUUGAAGUCAUACCGUAAGGAGUGGUGGACAGUACAGAAGUGAGAAUGCUGGCAUAAGUAGCGAAAAACAAGUGAGAAUCUUGUUGACCGAAUAUCUAAGGUUUCCUGGGGAAGGCUCGUCCUCCCAGGGUUAGUCGGGACCUAAGCCGAGGCCGA